AAAUUGACAUCGAAAAGAAAAGUAGCAAGCGAAUGCUUUAAGAGAGUCUCUGGUUGGUGAGAAGAGAUAGCUGUAGGUUGUGAAACACAUCUUGGAGUCGUUUUUCUGAAAAAUAAGUAGGGAAAUCCGGGAAGCCCGUUAUAGCUGCGGUCAUUGAUUGAUGACCAGAUGAGGUUAGUAACUGCAAAGUACUAACAAAUAAAAGGUGGAACCACGUGAUAAACGUCCUUUAGUCUAUUGACUGAAGGGCUUUUUUUAUUCCAUUUUUUCUGGAAAUCCAAUGACUGAUAGAGGUUUUUCUUGUAAAGGAAAAACGAAUUGAGGUGGAACCACGUUUGAUGACGUCCUCUUG
rnacentral:ncRNA from 1 species